GCAACGAUGAUUAGGGGUCCUGAGAGGGAGAUCCCCCACACUGGUACUGAGACACGGACCAGACUCCUACGGGAGGCAGCAGUGAGGAAUAUUGGUCAAUGGAGGCAACUCUGAACCAGCCAUGCCGCGUGCAGGAUGACGGUCCUAUGGAUUGUAAACUGCUUUUGUACAGGAAGAAACCUCCCUACGAGUAGGGACUUGACGGUACUGUAAGAAUAAGGAUCGGCUAACUCCGUGCCAGCAGCCGCGGUAAUACGGAGGAUCCGAGCGUUAUCCGGAAUUAUUGGGUUUAAAGGGUUCGUAGGCGGCUUUGUAAGUCAGUGGUGAAAUUUCCUAGCUUAACUAGGACACUGCCAUUGAUACUGCAGAGCUUGAAUAAUAUGGAAGUAACUAGAAUAUGUAGUGUAGCGGUGAAAUGCUUAGAUAUUACAUGGAAUACCAAUUGCGAAGGCAGGUUACUACGUAUUUAUUGACGCUGAUGAACGAAAGCGUGGGGAGCGAACAGGAUUAGAUACCCUGGUAGUCCACGCCGUAAACGAUGGAUACUAGCUGUUCGGAUUUCGGACUGAGUGGCUAAGCGAAAGUGAUAAGUAUCCCACCUGGGGAGUACGUUCGCAAGAAUGAAACUCAAAGGAAUUGACGGGGGCCCGCACAAGCGGUGGAGCAUGUGGUUUAAUUCGAUGAUACGCGAGGAACCUUACCAGGGCUUAAAUGUAGAUUGACAGAUUUGGAAACAGAUUUUUCUUCGGACAAUUUACAAGGUGCUGCAUGGUUGUCGUCAGCUCGUGCCGUGAGGUGUCAGGUUAAGUCCUAUAACGAGCGCAACCCCUAUUGUUAGUUACCAGCGGGUAGUGGCGGGGACUCUAGCAAGACUGCCGGGGCAAACCGUGAGGAAGGUGGGGAUGACGUCAAAUCAUCACGGCCCUUACGUCCUGGGCUACACACGUGCUACAAUGGCAAGUACAGAAAGCAGCUACCUGGCAACAGGAUGCGAAUCUCCAAAGCUUGUCUCAGUUCGGAUUGGAGUCUGCAACUGGACUCUAUGAAGCUGGAAUCGCUAGUAAUCGGAUAUCAGCC
rnacentral:rRNA from 1 species